GCAGACGUAGUUUACUAAAAACGUUAGAUUGUGAUUCCAAAAAAAGGGGUUAAACCCCCCUCGUCUGCC
rnacentral:tRNA from 2 species